UUUGUAUCUUCAACCUUUAUUUGCUACUUCCAUUCCUUUAUCCCAGCAACACAAAUUGGGGAGGGCAGCAGGAAGCCACAUUUGAAGUGGCCCGUGCCAGCUGGCAGCGUGAUGGUACCCAUGACCCCUGAGCAUCACAGAGCUAGCAGGAGGCAUCCGCUAUGGGCCGGGAGCACAACACUGAGGCCCAAGGGCCUGGUGAGGAAGGCGGCCUCCCACAGCAGUUUGGCCUUUAGAGCACUAAGAACAGUUGCAUUCACUGUCUUUUUUUUUUUGCUUGAAUAAUAAUAAAAAAAGAAAACCCAAACCUUCUAUAAUUUAUAAGCUAUUUGCUAUCUACAUUAUAUAUAAAAUAUAGACUCUGUUUAUAACACACAUCUUUUUCCCUUGAUAAAUAAUUCUUUAAAAUAUCUAGUAUACAUGCCUUGACUUUUUAUAUAUGUUUGUUUUUAUACAGAUACAUACAUACAUGUACUCAUGUUUGUGAAACACAAUAAAUAUAUACUUGACAUUGACAACCAAACAAAUGCAAUUUUGGAUCCAAAAAAGAAAAAAAACAAAACAAAACGAAAAACCCAGCAACAAACAGUCAAAGCACCAGGCAACAAACAGAAGCCAUAAUUGCCAGAAACGUCUCCCUCCCCUGGGCAAGGCACAGGGCAGAAUCCUCAGUACGGCUGGCCUGACGGUGAAGGAGGGGAGCAGAGGAGUGGCAGGUCGCUUGCCUGUGUUCUGUUUCUUAGCCCGGGACUAGAAUCCCAAGGAAGUCAUUGGGUUUAUGGAGAGACACCACGGGGCUCAUUCAACAGCAGAGCCCCUGUGGUGGCUGCACAGGACAGUGGAGACCUGCCCCAGGGAAGACUGGGGACAGAAGCUGACAUCAGGGUUAGCCUGGGGGGCCCUGCUCACAGCCACCCAGGCAGGCUGACUGCCACACCAAGCAUGGCACUGCUGCAAGGGACAUGGCCUUGUUUUCAUCUACUCACAGAUUUGGGGUCAGAGAUUUGACUCGAGAGGAUUCACCAGUGCAACCCUUUAGGCCCGAGAGCCAGAUGCCUGGGGAGCCCAGUCCACAGGGACCAUAACUCAGGGAAGAAAGUCAGCAGGCCACCACCCUCCAAGGCUAAUUGGGGUGGUCGCUCAGAUACGGGACUGGCCUCACCUCCAGACUCUCAGGAGAUCACCGAGCCCCCAGCCCCUCCAAGCAGCAGGAAGGUGUCCAUGCCUCCUCUCAAACCUGGAGCACUCCCCGUCACCCACUUGUCGGGGCCUGUGGGCUGCAGAGCAGCGAGCACAGCUUUUCUUUCAUCCUCCUCCUCCCUGUCCCCAGAGGGAACUGAAAUGCAGGGCUCUGAGUGUUGAUUUCAAAAAAAAAAAAAGGAAAAAGAAGCUGCUCCCCAGUGUCAUGGCCUCUGCCCCAUGAACUUCAGGAUUUGGGGGGGCCCUGGAUGGCUGAAAAAACAGGCGGUGGGUGGAGCAGGAGUCCUAGGCUAGUCAAAGCCUCGAUCUGUACUUGGAGAGGGGUGGGGCCUCUACGAAGAGGUGGCCUCAGGAAACCCCAAAGGUGGCAUUGGGAUAUAUGUCCCCCAUCCUUGCUUCAACAAAUUAGAGGUAAUCAUUCACAUUAUAGUCAGAAUGGGAAACUUUUUUUUUCUUUCCCUUUUUCGGCCACCCGGAGGCAUAUGGAGUUUCCGGGCCAGGGGUCAGAUCUGAGCUGAAGUUGCGAUCCAAGCCACAGCUAUGGAAAG
ensembl:lncRNA